rnacentral:rRNA from 1 species
GAUGAACGCUGACAGAAUGCUUAACACAUGCAAGUCCACUUGAACUUCGGUUUGGGUGGCGGACGGGUGAGUAACGCGUAAAGAACUUGCCUCACAGUUAGGGACAACAUUUGGAAACGAAUGCUAAUACCUGAUAUUAUGAUUUUAGGGCAUCCUAGAAUUAUGAAAGCUAUAUGCGCUGUGAGAGAGCUUUGCGUCCCAUUAGCUAGUUGGAGAGGUAACGGCUCACCAAGGCGAUGAUGGGUAGCCGGCCUGGGAGGGUGAACGGCCACAAGGGGACUGGGACACGGCCCUUACUCCUACGGGAGGCAGCAGUGGGGAAUAUUGGACAAUGGACCAAGAGUCUGAUCCAGCAAUUCUGUGUGCACGAUGAAGUUUUUCGGAAUGUAAAGUGCUUUCAGUUGGGAAGAAAAAAAUGACGGUACCAACAGAAGAAGUGACGGCUAAAUACGUG